GGAACGAACGCUGGCGGCAUGCCUAAUACAUGCAAGUCGAACGAACUCUUCGGAGUUAGUGGCGCACGGGUGCGUAACGCGUGGGAAUCUGCCCCUUGGUUCGGAAUAACAGUUGGAAACGACUGCUAAUACCGGAUGAUGACGAAAGUCCAAAGAUUUAUCGCCAAGGGAUGAGCCCGCGUAGGAUUAGCUAGUUGGUGAGGUAAAGGCUCACCAAGGCAACGAUCCUUAGCUGGUCUGAGAGGAUGAUCAGCCACACUGGGACUGAGACACGGCCCAGACUCCGUACGGGAGGCAGCAGUAGGGAUAUUGGA
rnacentral:rRNA from 1 species